CCACCACUUCGGCCUCCAAAGCUGCUGUAAGAUCCAUCUCUGUGGAAGACAAGACUGACGUCAGGAAGUGGGUCAAUUAUUCUGCACACUACAGCUACCAGGUGGAGAUUGAGCAAAAAAAGAGUUUGAAGCCGGACUUUGAAGGAGAGGAAGUGGAAAACCCCAAGGAGUGUGGGGUCCAGUGACAAAGCCUCGCUGAGAGGCCGUGACCUGAGAGUUCCAAUAGGACAUCUUCCUGAAUAGCUGAAGUUCAAGUCAGUACCUACAUGACUACCCCAUGCUGGGAGCAGUGUAUCGGACCUUCCUGUCUGUAGUUGCCUAUAUGUGAACAGGAGACCCGAGGCGGCGGCUGCAGAGAGGCUCUGACUGCCUGAAGCAGCUGGUUCACCUGGCUUGGAGCUUCCUCAUUAAGCCGCCUCUGCCUCUGCUUAUCUCACAGCACUUGGGUGUGGUUUGUUGUGACUAGGAGAGUCAGGAAAAGAACCUCCGCAUCAGUGUUGGCAUGAUUUCCUUCUGGUGUUCUGUCAUUUACAUGAAUUUCUGGAAAACCCGGUCUUGAGAGGUUAAUUAAGAACCCAUCUCUGUCACUCCCUCUAGAAAAGGUUCAGAAAAGGUACAAAACAAAUUUCCUCUUUAGGUUUCCUAGUCCUUUCGCAGGUGUCUCCAUUCUUUGUAUAUGAACACUAUGCAACAGACGUUUUCGAGAUGCUAGACUGUUUUGAAUGAAACACUUUUUCCAUCUCUCUAAGGUUUUGGUCACAGGAUGGGAAAAAGGCACAGGAAGAUACUCUUUUAUUCUGUGAUUAGCCCCACAUUCUGCAAAGGGUGGCUGUUGAAAGGAAAGCAAAAUGGAUGCUUUCCUUAUUUUUCUUCAUUCUGGGGAAAAGGGACAUUCAUUGUAAGGUUAUAUUCAAUUCAGGAGACAGCUUCAAUCUCAGUGAAUUCCCAAAUUCACAUUGAAAAAUAUAGGCCAUUUCUGAUUUCUGAAACAAGUGGAUAUAUGUUAUACCUCAGGCAUUUGGGAGCUCUUUGUAUACCUCAUAGCCAAUAGAGAGCACAUGUCUCUGUAACUCGGACUUUUCAGGAAACGUAUGCUGAAGAGAUCAUUUCAAAGCUGUUUUAAAACUAAGCUUGUAUGAGCUUUUCCCAGAAAUUCAGAGUGUGACAAGCACAGUAUUGUAAUAGAUCUAAAAGGCAGAAGACUCUAGGGUAGAGAUGGUGGGAAAGCCAUACUUUUUAAACAUAGAUUUUAAGAGUCUGGGACACUCAAUCUUCUUUGCCUUCAUCCGUUCCAGCUCACAUUCUGCACCUCUGCUUCUUAUUUGUACGUUGGUGUUUUCUUACCACACAAGAAGCUACAUCAGCCAUCCCGAAGGGGAUACCUGCUCAACAAUUCAAAGGCAGCCUGUCUCUGUCUUUCUGUAUAUCCAUGAAGAAUGGAAGAGGGGGACAGAGAGCACAUUGAUCAGAUUUGUAGAUGACACAGAAAUAGACAUAUAUCUAGUCUGUUGACCAGGAGAUUCAGGAUUAACUUAUUCAAUGAAUAGUCAUUGAAUUCUAACUAUGUACUGACACUAGGAUAUAGGAAUCAUUAUAAUUUUUUGAAAUACCUGAGCAUAAGACUGAAAUUAAAAAGAUGAAAUUGAAGCAUUAAUGAAAAAAUAUAUUUUGAGUUUUCUUAAAUGCAACCCUCUAAGAACAGCAUGGUAUAUGUGUUGUGUAUUUGUGGAUGUGUGUGUAUAUUGUGUGUGUGUGUGUGUGUGUAUGUGUGUGUGUGUGUGUGUUGAUGGGAAGGGUGUUGGAAAGUCAUGGUUUCAUAGCAGUUCAUGUAGAAAUGUUUUCUUAUGGAAAUAGGAGUUCCGUUUUGAAUCAGGAGUAUAUUGUGGCUAUUCAUAAAGCUAUUUCAUUCAACCUGUGGUAAUAGAAGUCCAGGGAGCCCUGCAAGCUGCACUGGUAAGACCACAUCUGGAUGGAGGGUUGGGUUCAAUUCUGGGUACUAUAUUUUGAGAGAGACAUUAAUACAUUGACUGUGUCCAGAGACAGGUGGCCAGGGUUGUGAAGGGUCUGAUUAUACAAGGAACAGGGGAAUAGAUCCCUAAAGAACAGAAGGUAUAGCUGAAAAGGAAGUGCAGAAAAGGAGGAAAUGAUAUAAUAGGUGCAUUAAAAUUUCUGUUGAGUUAUAAAAUAAGAGAGUACUUAGACUUAUUCUGUGUAGCUUCAAAGGGCAAAAAUAGGAACAAAGGGAAACUUGAUACAUGAUAGAUGUUUGCUUCAAAUAUAAGAAAGUUUUCUAAUAAGAGUUGCUUUAAAGAGGAAUGGACUCAAUAGCAAAAUUUCCUGUUGCUGCAAAUGCUCAGGCAAAAGUUAAAAUAAUGAUCUCUCCCAGAUGCUUCAGAAGGUUCUCUUACGUUGGAUUUGAGCUGAUGACUAAGAUCCCUUCUACAUAUAGUAGUAAUAGGGCUCUCUGACUCUAGGAGUGGUUUUUCAUGCUCUUUGAAAUAUAGCAGGGUCCCCCAGUGAGUGGCGUCAAGUGAGGGUUCCACAGUAUUUCCCUUCCCCACUUGUACUAAAGGCACAUGAGAUUCCUCAUAAAAACAUCAAGGUGAAUUGAAGACUUAGCAAGGUGAAGGUCAUUCUGGCACCUUCCUUGCCCAAGGUUAACAUCCACACGCCCUCUCAAGAGCUCUGCCUCACCUAUUAGCAUCACAUGUGUAUUGCUUGUUGGACCUUGUAUCCCCACUGGCUCAAUUCUGAUUGCUUCAUGCUUUCACCUGGACUUUUUUUUUUUAACCAAGGGCUGGGAAAAUUCCUUCCAUGCUGUCUUUAGAUUCAGCAAGCAAGUUAUUAAUAUUUAAAAACCUACCACUUUGAUUUCAUAAAAUUUGUUUUUCCUCUACUAUUUUGGGGAAACUGAUUAAAGGUAGCCUUUAGGGGCUUGGGGAAUAUAAUACUAUAUAUUUCCAGACCUAGUGUUUUGCUAGUCACCUACACAGAAAACACAGUUGGGCAAAUUACCUUUUUAAAACAAAAACAUCAUUUUAUUUUUUAUUGAUUUAAGAGAGAGGAAGGGAGAAGAGAGAGAGAAAAAAACAUCAAUGAUGAGAGAAUCGUUGAUCGGCUGCCUCCUGCACACCCGACACUGGGGAUUGAGCCUGCAAUCCAGGCAUGUGCCCUGACCAGGAAUUGAACCAUGACCUCCUGGUUCAUCAGUGGAUGCUCAACCACUGAGCCACACCAGUGAGGCUCUCCUGAGUUCUAAAGAUGUUUUCAAAACAUCACCAAGGUCUAAGUGCCAUUUCUCUACAAAUCACCAUUUCUUCAUUAUGCUCUUUAGAAAUGAAACUUGCUUUGGAUAUUAUGACUCAUUUUAUGUAUUUAAGGAAUUAGAAGUGAAUGAGACAUACAAGGCAGUCAUAAACAUAGAAAAAUAAGUGUGUGUAUCAAUAAUGUUUUCCCAUGUAUUAGCUAAAGCAAGAAAACGGAAUUGUUUCAUUUCUUCUAGUGUGCCUUAGCAAAUCUGAUUGAGAGUCUAGUUCUUGGUUUUUAUUUUGAGAAUUGAAAAAAAAUCUCUGACCUUGCAAUUCCAGGCCUUGUAAAGACAAUAUCCAUAGUGAUAUGUUCAGUAGUUCCUGGAGAGAGGUAGAUAACAAUUGUAUGUCAUAAAAAGCUAUUUAAAAACAGACUCCAAAAAAUAGAUUUUCAAUAUGAAUGAGAAUAGAGAGAGAUGACAAAUAUAGCACUGGCCAUCAAACCUCAAAUUCCUGGACUUGAGGCUAUCCCUGAAAAGUAAGGAGCCCUAAGAAAAAUAACGGAUUGCAUAGCAGGGAUACACAAUAGAAUUAGUUCAAGUCAACAAGUAUUUAUCAAGUGUCUACUUUGGUCAAGGUGCUGUGCUAGCAGCCAGCUUCCCUAAAGGGAGCUGCAGCCAAACACAAGGACACUGAGGAUUGCUGGUGUAAAAUCAUUGGUGGGAUUAAAAUUGGGGUUUCUAUGAAUCUUUAAAGGACAUUGUCAUGGAUUGCAUGAAUUGCAUGUUCAGUGACUUGCAAUCUUCCCAGUUGGGCUUCAGUAACCUCAGCGAAGAAAGUGAGGAAGCUGGACUCAUUGUUCCCUCAGGUCCUUUCCAGUUUUAUGGAUUAUUUCACAAAAUACCCUUUGGUGCCAUUGUCAGUGAUACUUCAUGUCAACAGGCCUCUUCACAUAGUCUUAAGAACCAAGACAUUUAAACUUUGAAGAUUGGAAAAGUCAGCUGGCCCAUCUUUUUCCUUUUCAUGUCUCUAUCCUUUACCAUCUGCCCAGACCAUAGAAACACAGGAAACCCUGCAAUCCUCUAUUUUGUAGUUGCCUUCAAAGAAAUAGAUAAAUAUGGAGGAUCAAAGGAUGGUGAAGAUCAACAGGAACACUGCUUGGGAAGGUCCACUGGGAUCACCCAGCACAAUGUAUGAGUGUGAGGAAGAGCAGAGAGCUCUCCAAAAUGGAUGUUGUAUUUGGGUACUACUUGCAGUAGAAGUAGGUCUAACCCUCCAAAGUACUAAGGUACGUUAGGAUGAUCAGCAAUUUAUAGGUAUAUCCUUUUAUACAAAAGACUGAAGAAAUUGAGGGAGGAAAAACCACUCAGUAAACAUCCUAGGACUAUGUCAUACAGUUAUGGCAAAAUGAGAUGAAAGGGUCAGUCCUCCCUAUCCACACUGUCUCCUAGGAACAUAAAAAUGUAGCUUUUGAAUUUUUUCAAACAUGUACAAACUACAAAAUAGCAUCUCUUCUGUGGCAUGUGUUAGUAUGAUUUUAAUUUCUUGUACUUAGAUUUGGUCAAAUGGAAUGGCUCCAUUCGAACUGGACAGAGCAAGAAAUUCCCACAUCCUCUGCCUCUGAUCAAACUCUCAAUGCUAGUUUUGGAUGCCAUCUAGACACACUGACUGAAGCCUUAAGUACCAUGUGCUUCAAGGUCAGCGACCCCACUUGGUUCUAGGGAAGCAGAUGUGCAGAUCCCGACAGCAACCUGUUGGACCAAAGUGUUUAAGGGUUUUAAAGUAUGGGGGUGACAGAAGAGAUGACUAUGAACUCCUCUGACCCUAAGCCAACAUUCAUUUAACCUUUGUGUCCAACUGCCAACAGAGCCUGGAGAAAUUUUCACUAUGUUCAGGAAAUUAGACAGUGUUUUAGUCAGAGAAUGAUAAAAGUGCACCCCUCCUCACCCUGCAUUUUUAUAAUGUCCAUAGUGAAUUUCAAUGUGUCAAGAUGGAUGGACCCAAGAUCCAAUGAAUGAUUCACCUGAUCCAAGGCUUGUAUUUUCCUUCAUUCGUCAGCUAUCUUCAUUUGAUGAAACUUUCUUGUACUAUUGUGAUUAAUUUUAUGUAAAAUUGCUUUACUUAAAAAAAAUAUGUGCCUAUGUAAUAAAGUCUACACACUGGCUAACUCUGUAGAGGUGAGAUUUUGUUUUUAAUUGUUCUGCUGAUUAUCAUCUGUAAUACCUUUUUGAACUAUGAAAAUGAGCUAUUAAUAAACAUUUCUAAGCAAAA